AGCUGAUUUUUAUUAUCUAUUCCACGCUGGGUGAAUGUGGAAGCUGAAAGAGGUCAAGAUUUUAACCACGUUUGGACUACCAAAUAAUUCCAUUUGAUGUUAACAGAAGAGACUGAGCUUCAACAUUGAUAUUAUGGAAUGUUUAAUCAUCUAACUCACUUGCCACCACACAGCUUCAAGAAUCAUUUGAGAAGCAACUAGGCAAGUGAAUCAGUAAUCAUUUUAAGUGUUUGAUGUUUACAGCUCAGACUGGGCUUCAGUGUUGAUCUUCUGGUGUCCUGUCAAUUGGCUUAGAUCACACUGUACAUCUUUAAGAACCAUUUGAUUUCUCCAAAUGGACAGGUGGAAAUCCUCUCAACAACCAUUUUUCCUAAGAGUGGCUAAUCAUACACUGCAUGAUGCAAAAAGAAAAAAAAUGCAAUAAACUUGUUCAGAUUGUUUUGCGAAGAUACUGAGACAGAUGCUGCAUAACUUAUUUAUGGAAAACCUGAAGGAAUAUUUCAAUUUCAUUGUUGGUUGUGUCUGGUUUAUUAUGAUAUUUUUGCAAGAAAUUUCACUUAAUCCUCAUUUGUUUGCAGCCCAUAUGGUUAUCCCGGCUUGUGGGGCUAGUCCCUAUAUUUUUGCUGUGCUUUCUUCAGAGCAUUUAGGAAUGAAUAUUGUUUGAGACUGCUGUUGUGACCUGCUGAAACAAAUUGACAAGCUAUUUUACUAUCCUAGAUAAGUUUAUCAGCAAGAAUGUUUUACUCAUUCAUGUUUAUUUCUUUAAUGCAGAUUACUUAAUCAUAAUGAAGAAGAAGAUAUUGGUGGAAGUUUGGUGUAAAAGAAAUUAUAUUCGUUGAAAGGGUGACCGAAGAUUUUCUUUUCUCACAUGUUAUGGUAUUUUUAAAAAACAUUGAAGUGUAUAUCUGGGCUCCCUUAUUUUCUGUGGCCCCGUUUCCCCUUGACUUGUGAUA